rnacentral:rRNA from 1 species
GGAAGUAAAAGUCGUACAAGUCUCGUUGUGACCAGCGA